UUUAUGUUGAUUUCACAUGCAUAGUUUAUUAUUUUUCUUUUUUUAAUUCAUAGAUUCUGAUAAAGAUGCUCAUUUCCAAUCUGCAGAUGUUUUUCGAUGCUAAAUGCUUCAGCAUUUGGAUUUUACAGCAUCUGGAAAUGUUCUUUAAGAAAGGACUCUGUGUCCAAACCAUGAAGCUGAGUCCUAAG
rnacentral:lncRNA from 14 species